CAGCUGGCAUCAAUGAGGUGUACACUAAUGCUGAGGUAGUUCUCAUUAUAGACAGAUGUCUAGUGGUCCCUCGUCAGUGCUAAACACGUCGCCUCAAUCAACUUUAGCAGCUUUCUCUGCAGCGUACUGCUCAUUUAUUCUCCUCCACAGUUAGACGCCACAGGUAUGAACACUAGUUCCAUGUUUGACUGGUGAUAAAAUGUCCAUCUAGAAACUCCUUCACCUCACUAUAUCAGAAACUCACAGGUUAAUGGUCUUUUUCAAGCAAAGUUUUGAGAAAGCCAUUAAUUAACAGCUCUUUUUACAUAGAAACUAGAACCGAUAAGGUAUUCUAUUGUAAACUAGUAAAUAUUCAGGUCCUGGGUGAAUAUGUGGAUGUGAACAUUUGAAAGUUAAUUAUUUUGGGCCUGAGUAAAUUAGUGAGAGAGUUGCCCUGACAAAAAAAAAAAAGGUGUUUGUAUUCAUCAUUCAGCUAAAAGGUUCUUUUAGCUGAAUGAUAAUCUAUUGGUUGGAAAUAUUCCAGAAACAUACAUUCAGAUGAAAAUAUCCUCAGAUGAAAAUAAAAGCAAAGGUAGGACAGAUUUAAUGAGCUUUGCUCAGUUUUGCUGAUUAUUCUGGGGGAUUUUUUUAAGAGCUCAGCUGCAAAUGAUCAGAGUUUUGCUAAUUCAGUGUCUUGUUGGCUUUCAUUAGCAAUGCAUCAAUCAGCCCUGCUACGUGUGUUGUUGAAACCAGGCCCACCAAAACUCCAACUUUAUUUGGCCCAGUGUCAGAGCUAUGGUCAAUAGAUAUUAGAAUGAAGUAGAUCAUCUAUAGAGGAGUCUCAGAUGUAGAUUUGGGACAUAUAGAAGUGUGUGUCAGUCUCAGAGUUAGUCAGCUACAAGCUAAUUAAUGUUGUAAAGUAGCUCCAGUCACCUUUAAAGGCUCUGAAUUAUAGGGUUAAACUACGGGACAUCAAAGAACUCAGUUUAGAGGCUGGAGUCUGUAGUUCAGGGAAAAUUAAGUCCUAAAAUGAUGAAACAUGUUUGUUUAAAAAGAUAAACAAGAUUGAUGAUGUUGCUGUUAUUUUACUGAUCAGGUUGAACCUGCUUUAACUCUGUAAAAAGCCUUUGUUUUAAAAAUGUAUUAAAGAAAUCUGACUCUCCUCUAGAAGUUUAAAGUUUCUGCUUUUUAGAGAUUUUUGAAAGUAUAAUUUUCCUUUGAACUAAUUCUAAUAGUUUUGUUCUUGAUUCUGUAGAUUUUCUAUUUUAUACAACUGAUUUUAUGUUUUAUAUUCUGCUGUGGAUGUUUUUAAUUAUUGUAAUCACUUCUAAACUGAUGAAUUAGCAGCAAUAAAAACCUCAUGGAUUGAAACAAUUUGCUUCUUUUUAUGGUUUCAUAUUAAUUACAAUCUUCUUCCAUGUUUUCUCUGAUGUUUUCAUACGAACUAAAGCUCUAAAAUAAAUAGUAAUUGCAUUCACCUUCUGUCUUCUCCAGUCUUUCCUGUUGCUCCUCCAUCAGCAUUAAUGGUUUUUGCUUUUUAGAGCCUGAGUUCAAAUCUGGCCAUUGGAUAAAUCCUCCUUUGCUUGUUGGAGAACUUAGAUCAGGAAAUAAUGUAGGUACGUAUUCUGGCCCAGUUGGUUCGGCACCUGAUAAAACAAGUGUUUCAGUUGCUAUAACUGUGUGUGUCCAGAGCCGCUACAACCAAGCAACUAGAGGAAUGAAGGAUCUAACUAUGGCUGUGUUCACAAUGCAGCCUGAAGGGACCCAACAGAGAUAUCUGGAAGAGGGUCCAACGGGUCUCAUCAGAAAGAACCAGAACGACAUGCAGACUGCAGUGAGUGGGCGGAGCCAAGAUACCUGGACAGGUGAGGAACAGUUUGGACAACAUCCUGAGGUAUUUAUUUGCCCUUCUAAUAUUUAGUUUGGAUUUCAUGCGAUGGAUCAUCAUAACAUGAACUCUUUAUGGAGAAAUAUGCCCAGUGCAACCGGCUGCUUUCAGAGAUAACCUAAUGUCUAGAUACCUGUUGCCUGAAGGCCUUUUAGGUUUGUUGGAGAACAUUCUAGAAAUAACCCGACAGGAAAACCAAGGAACAGAGCAGACAUUGAUGCAUGUUGGUGGUAAACUUCAAUAUAGCAGUAUCUGACCUCUAACAUCAGGCAAGUGCAGCGUCUUGCCCAAUGACACAGAGACGUACGGAGCUGCAGCUUGAACAGACAAAUCCCUCCUCCUGAGCCAGCUUAUGCUACUGUAGGGAUGACUGAAAUUGCUGCUGCAAACCCACAAAGAAUUCACAGUGCCUCUUAGCUUCACUCUGGAGGAGCUGCAGAGAUCUACAGCUCAAGUGGAAUAAUCUGUCAACAGGAUAGAAAUCAGUCAUCCAGAAAUAAGCCUCUAUUAAAGUCUGAAAUUUGACAUUAAAACCCCAUAUUAUUGGGAACUGCGUUUAAUUAUAAUUGGGAACAUUUAUAUUUAAAUCUUUACCCUCAUUUCAGUCUUUAAAAUAUGUGGAUAUUUAUUUGUACAAUCAUUGCAUCGUGACGGCACAGAGAUGCUAUGGAUGGUGAGCUAGAAUGUCCUGCUGCAGGGUCAGAUUAUGUUUCUGAAUGCUUUUAGUUUUACCCUAAAUAUGUAAAACAAAAUUGAAUUUUUAAUGCAAUUAAUCUAAACCUUAGAAAAGAAGUGCUUUUUCUAGCUUUUAAUUUCCCCACACAUUCCAAAUUAGUCAAUCCUUAUUCUUCAAAACAACUCAAAAUAAGCCUAAUUAUAGAGAAAAGUGUUAAAUGUUUAAAUGUUUUCCUGGUCCUACAAUAAAGGGGGCAAAUAUAAAUUACAGGCACUUCUGAUAUUGGUUUGUGAAGAUUUUUAAAAGCCAUUUAACAUUUCCUACCAUUUUACAAACCUGCAGUACGACUGGAUCCUUUGCAAAUAAUCUCAUUUAAAUGGAAGAAAGUUUGUGGCUUUAGCGUUACAAAAAUGUGAAAAUAGAACAUGUAAAAUUACACACAAGGAUCGUUUUCAAUUAGAAACUGUUCAAUAUCAUUUUUUCUAAUUUUUCUUGGUCAUUUGCAGAAAGACGUGCUUCAGCACAAAAAAGGGAGUAAGGAGAUACUUUUAUUAAGAUGAAAUACAUUUUUUAGAGAACUCUGCAGAUAAAAAUCACAGUUUAAUAACCACCUUUUCUUCCCUUGAAGAAAAGACUUAAAUAAGCAUCAUGGAUUCUAUGGGAUGAUGAAUAUUUGGUCCAGGCAGGUUAGGUCAGAGAGGAUCAGCAUAAAGGAGUCGCUUCUAAGAGUCCACAGAGAUCCUGGAUCAGCAGCUCAGCUUCUCCUGGUCAAAGGAACCUUUUCUUCCAGGUUGGUUUCAGCAUCUGCUGCUCAAACUGAAGAAAACA